AUUUGUACCACGCAGUCUCGGUUUUCAUGCUUUUUAAAAAUGACUCUCUCAUUACCUCAGACAAGGCAAGGCUGUUUGUUCAUUCUGUGACCAAGUCAUCAGUGGAAAUGUCAAGAUCACGUUCAGUGACCCACCACUGACCUGCCACAGCGAAUGUCUCAAGUGUGGUGUUUGCGCCAAGGACCUGGGAGAUUUUCUGAUCCCCAUUUACCUGCACAACCAGUUGUUCCACUGUAAAGGCUGCUUCGUAAAGGCCCUCAAGACCUGAAGCCCAAGGGGGACGAAUGUGUCAUCACAGCAGUCUCAUGUCCCGCGGUGAUUAAUCAACAACGUUUAAAUGAAGUACUUUACAAUAAGCAUAAUAUCUUUAUUAACAGUGUAUGUAUACAUGGGUAUCGUCUGUAGUUAAAAUAAAAUCUUAGAAUAAAAUGG